GAUGAACGCUGGCGGCGUGCUUAACACAUGCAAGUCGAACGAUGAAGCCCAGCUUGCUGGGUGGAUUAGUGGCGAACGGGUGAGUAACACGUGAGCAACCUGCCCCUGACUCUGGGAUAAGCGCUGGAAACGGCGUCUAAUACUGGACAUGUCCCGUCACCGCAUGGUGUGCGGGUGGAAAGAUUUUUCGGUUGGGGAUGGGCUCGCGGCCUAUCAGCUUGUUGGUGAGGUAAUGGCUCACCAAGGCGUCGACGGGUAGCCGGCCUGAGAGGGUGACCGGCCACACUGGGACUGAGACACGGCCCAGACUCCUACGGGAGGCAGCAGUGGGGAAUAUUGCACAAUGGGCGGAAGCCUGAUGCAGCAACGCCGCGUGAGGGAUGACGGCCUUCGGGUUGUAAACCUCUUUUAGCAGGGAAGAAGCGAAAGUGACGGUACCUGCAGAAAAAGCACCGGCUAACUACGUG
rnacentral:rRNA from 1 species